GGCUGGCCCAAGUACAGAGGUGUUUACAACCAGUUGAUUACAAGUUGCAGAUGUCUGUUUCUGCUCCACUCCCACUGCUUCAUUUGACUAGCCUUUC
ensembl:misc_RNA Y_RNA Y RNA